rnacentral:lncRNA from 1 species
GAUGCCGCAAGAUUAGUCUGUUGUUUUUGUCCGGGUCAGGUUUUACUUGUUGGUUGUUAUUACUCUAUAAACUCUCCUUAAUCAAUGAAACGGGCAAGUCUUUUGCCUUUGUUUUAAAAAUAAUAAUGCACACACGUGUAAACCUCACAACACAACAAGAAAGGCAGAUGUCUUGAAGAUUUGCAAAAAGGAAACCCGAAAGAAAAAAAAAUACAAAUUGAUCACUCUAAGAUACCCUGGUUCCAUCGUCCACCACCAUGAUGCUUCCCAAAAAGCGAACAGGGCAGCCGAAAAUCCCAGACCUGGAGGAGCUGCACAGCCACCCCGGAAAUCACUGCUUUUUGGAGGUUCUGGGUUCUAAUCCUAGCUAUCUGAACAUAUUUUCGCUCUAUCGAGAUUUUCAUCCGGAAGGCUUAUUUCUCAGGAGGGGACAGAACAACAGGUAACGGGCCGGUUACCGAAAAUCUGUACUGAGAAAAAAACCCUGGCCUGCCUAGAUGUGGGAUAUAAAACACAUCCUAGUUUGCAAACUUCCCGUGUCCGGUCUAGCUACUGGUGGUUGCAAAACCUUGCUCAUAUGCAUGGGUACAAUGCUCUUUAGUCUUUGCUGAAGUUGAGAGAAAUGAAAUAUAGACUUGGGAGGUAUCAGGAAUAACAACAUAUCCGGUGAAAAUGGGCCCAACAUGCGAACC